rnacentral:lncRNA from 1 species
AUCAAUCUAUUUCCUAACCCCAUUCCUCCCUCACUCCCUCCCUUAACCAACCUCUCCCUUUUGCCUCCCCCACCUCCCAAAUUUUCUUAAAGCCUAUGAUUCUCUCCUCCCUCCUGAGUGAACUAUAAAGAUGCUACAGUUGCUUUCUCAGUCAGGGGGUUUAUUGGGAUAACAGGAUGGGAAACUGAGAGAUGUGGGGAACCAGGACAAUAGCCAAACUUCAGUACUUGUCUGGCCGGCCAGCACUCUAUCCAUUGAACAAUCCAGUAGA